CCCCCGGCUGCUUUGCCGGUGGUCCCAGUGCACCACAGAGAAACCCUGGCACGGCGAGGCGCUGGAAAGGGAACGCCACGCUUGGUUCCUCCUUUUUUCCUUUCUUCUUUCUGGCGAGAAGGAAUGAAGUGCAGUGUGGGGCGAGCGGUUCCCGACGCACAUCGAACUGGUCAGCACACAUAUCACUUGUGUUUGGUACAGGUGGCGUGUUCUGAGGGUUUUAGCUCUCAGGUGUGAUGUUGUAGUGCUGUAAAGGAAUGCACGCCUACUAUGGAAAGCAAAUAGAUAAGAAGCGUACUUUCAGCCACACAGAAGCACGGGAGGGAAGGAAGGCCUGCACAUCUGUGGUGCAGUGCUCGUUUGCAGUACUAAUUACACUGAUGAAGGGUGAGGAGUGACGAGCCAGAAGCAGAGAAGAGUACAAAUCAGCAUGGCAUCCUCAAAGGGUAAGAGUCCAGUCUAUGUUAGCCAAGUACGAAAAAUUUCAAACUCCAUUUAAGCUAAUUAAGCAGUCAGCAGAUCGCCAGUGUGUAACUGAUCCGAGUAGGAAGAACGCUGUGCAAAAUGCAAAGCACCUGGUGCAGAUACCCCCAGCUGAAAGCAGUGGAGAAUUCGGUGCUUCAGAUCCCGUCCCUCUGCUCUCCGAUGAGCUGCCAGCAACUGGGGAAGGCUCUGUCCAGUUUUAGAAAGCAGAAAUCUUGGAAGUUGCACUGACUUUAUGUUGAUUUUACUUCUGAGUACGGGAGCUUCACACUGAAGGUCCUGUCCAUGCUGGAACAGAAAUUCAGCAUCCAGGAGAAGGCAAGAUUUUAAGCACAGCUCCAGGAUACUCACCCAGUUCUUAGGAAAAUCAGCAUAAAAUUCUGAAAGACCCUCAAGAUCAAGGACCGCAGUUUUUCAGUGCAUCUGCAGGGUGGCUUCCAAAGCAGCCUGGUGUCCGUCCACAGGUGUCAGUUCAAGCGUUGGCCCAACACAAAGGGCAAGGUGCUCACAUCUGAAUCCCUGCUCCGGUCUCCUGCACCAGCCAGGGUUUGUAGCAGCCUGGCCCUGCUUCGUGCCAGUCUCUGACCCGACCUCCACAGGAAAGCAGCAGAAACAAUUGGAUUUUUCCUGUCACCAUCAGUGCAAAGAAAGUGGCGUUUGUGCAAGUCAUGGUGGAUUGAUGAACGUUAUCUGAAGUGCAGCACGCAGUAGUGCGAUUCGUCAUAACUGAGGUUAAUGAAGGAGAAUGUUAAACAGCCUGUGACUGUAUGUCCAACAUAAUUUGCUAAAUUAACUGAAAAUCAACUACCAUUGUACUUCUAGCUACUCACUUAACUAUCAUUAACCCCAGUCACAAGCUGCGGUGUGGUGAUACCAGCAACCUGGAGGAAGAAUCAGGCAGCUGUCAGCAUGGCUCACGCUUGGCUGCAGCACGGCCUGGCUGUGGCCAGGUCCUGAGCUUCCCCCAGGCGGCACCGUCGGGUCCGUGUGAGCAGCAGGUGAGGCCGUGGUCUCUGCGUGACACCGAGCUUCACUUCGGGACAUCUGAACGUUUUGGCUCUGUGGUGCAACGCGGUACAGAUUGGUUGGCCCCGGCUCUGCGGGACUGCCCUGACCAGGGGUCAGCGAUCUGCUGUGAGGGUAAGGGAGAGGUGCGACGUGGCUGGAGAGAUGUAGAUUUGGACCUGGAUUGCAGGUUUCCUGUCCUGUAGCAGCUGGAAGCCUGCUAAAGCAGUGUACAGACUCUGUGCUGUCGUGCACCUCGCGUUCAGCUCUUGCCUUUGGAACUGGGCUGGCACAGAUGCUCAGCAGAGAUCAAUUCAAAAAUACGAGGAGUGCGUUUGCCACCUGACUGCAAAGUGACACCUGUGCUGGGGACCAAAUGAAGCUGCAGCUGAUAGGAACACUGCGGCUCUCGCCCAGCUGGAGCUCUGGCUGCCGUGCCCAAGUGAGCCCCGAGAGUUUCUUUGUGAGCUGAGCCCAAGCACGCCGCCUGCCGCACACCACGCUGUGAGGAGCAAGUGCUCUGCCGUCCCACACUAGCUGGAUGUUUUCAGGCAGUGGCCACCCCCAGCCCCAGUUUGCCCCAGCAGCACCGGUGCUUGCCCAGCACCAGGACCGCAGCCUGCUCCCAGAAAGGCAGAGCGAGACAAGGAUGGGUCACACCGGAUGGGCUGGGGAAGAGAAAAGGAGAAAGACGACUUCCAUCAUCGUCCUGUCUGACUGGGAACCAUCAUGGAGACAUCAGUGAUGCCAAGCGACAGUCAGUCCCUGAGUUUACAGCACACAGAGUCAAUUAAGUUCUACACAGUGCCCAGCACUUCCUACUAAAAUUGUGUCACCCUGAUGAUCACAGGAGUCCGGUGCACGUCUCGCUCGUCUGCAUGUCAGAAGGCAGACUGCUCACCGGCAGAGGGUGGAUAUCGGAAUUUCCCUGUGAGGCCAUUAAACACGGCUGCUGAUUUUUUUAUUUUUUUUUCCCCAAGGAAAAGCUCGCAAUGUAUAGGUUUUAACUUGCUUAAUGAAGCAUGAGAAUUGAACGGUAAUAGCUGUUCUUUGAAAGUCUGGAAAAUGAUGCAAAUCUGUUAGGAUCAAUGUAUUGUCUACUAGGAAAUAAUCUGUUUCUGAAAGAAGUUGGUGAUUUGUUCUUAUUGUCCUAUGAAAUUAGAAAAUAUUACUAUUUAUGAAGCACGUUUAUAAAACGUGCACUCUACUUUUAAAGAGUUGGCUUAAGGGCAUUUACUAAAAGCCAGAUUUAUCAAAUAAGGCACAUGUAGCUGCAUUACAAACCAACUUCACUUAAAAACAGAUUUGAGAAGUAAUGUAGUAUGUAGGUUGUAAAGCUCUACUGGAAGGGAAACAUAGCUGCUUAAAGAACAAAAUGCUGCUCUUAAGCCUGGGUGGGUGGUGGUUUAGCCUGUAAUUCAAUUGCGUUCCCAUAAAAUGUUUUAUUGGAAUGAUGCUGGUCAUGGAGGUGACUGACAGCGGUGGCUUUUGCAGAGACUCCCAAAUUGUUGUUGUGAUAUCUGUCUUACAGUGCCAUUCUGUGUAAGCGAAACAAGAUAGGAAGUUUUAUAUUUUCUCUGCAGAGGAAGACAGCAGAAUAUUUCCCAAGCCUGUUGUGCGGUGCAAGAACAAGAGCAGGUAUGAGUGUUUGGUUUUUGGGGGUGGGUGGUUUGCAGAACUGAGGUUUUUUUCAUAGUAAAAUUCUGAAUCAGUUUGGCAGAGGUGUUUACCUCUGAGCCUAGGUUUGCUUUCGGUGUUCUUCCAUAGAUACUCCUCCUCAGCUAGUUCCAGCGUCCCAUGUGAGAUCCUUCAAAAAUCCUGGUUCUGGAACAGCUCUGUGACUUUGCAGAAUUUGGUCUGCUGCAAGUGAAGAGUGAUAACUGAGCAGCUAAGCAGGAGCACACAUUUUUUAUGAGCGUUCAAGUAGAUCUAUAUCCUAAUAGGAAAUCAAUGUUCAGGUCACAAGGUGGAACAGGACAAUGGGAUCUUAAAUCACACGGGAAAUAAAAAUUAAAAGUCGCAGUGGACAAUGGGAUAUAAUUUAGGAUUUUGCUGCAGUCAGAGAUGGUGUAUCACCAAAAUUGCUCACCAUUGUCCUAUGUCGUAGUGUCAAAAUCCACGCCAAGCUCUUACAUAUCCAGUUGACUUCUAUCAGGAGAAGAGUAAAAUGGAAACGUUGUAAUGGAUUAGAGAAAGCCGAAUAAGCUCAUGCCUCUCAGUGUGAGCCCGUGACACGUCAGAGCUAGCAGAAUAUUUCACUGUGCAGGUUAUUAAAAAUGAGAAAAUUGUAUACAGUGUAAAGUUUGAUCUUGAUUGAUUGUGUAUGCUUAGAGCUAAGUCAGGUCGAUCCGAGCCACUGCAUUGAAAAAGCAGUGACUUGACAAGAAUUGCGUGGAUUGCCAACAUGCUCAAAACUGUUUUCACUAGUUUACUAAAAUAAAUACCUCAGCCCUGCCAAAACGCAUUAAAGGUGAAGUGAGUCAGCACUAAGGCAAAUGCAAUGGAAGCUGCCUUGCAGGCAGCGUGCAGCAGCCCUGGUGCAGCCGGACGGUCGGCAGGCAUUGCCGUCCCCAUGAAGGGGAUGCUCCGGCCAAGUGGCCACAGCCCCGCAGCCGCCUGCCCGGCUCGGCCACUGUGCUGCCACGGCCGGGGCAGCCCGCAGAGCUGCCAGGGGUCUCGGCUGCUUCCCCGCACGCUGCCCUGAGCCGAGGUGGCAAAAGCACCACACUUUCUCCUUCUCAGGUCGAUUUGCUGUUCGCUUUUUCUUUUUUCUUUUACUGAGUCAAGGCAUCUGUGUCAAAAUGAUCCCAUUUGAAGUUUGUUGAAUUUGCAUCAGCUGCAGCUCCUGUGGGAAAAUCACAGCUGCUUAUAUAUGCAUAUGCACACAGAGAUAUAAAAAAUAAUAGAAGCGUUGAGACACGGCAAUGGGAUUUUAAUUCACUUGGAUGGGGACCAAGAUCUGUCCAUGUCCAUCUCCCCCCGAUAUAUCUAUGUGUAUUUAACGGGAAAGUGUGUCAGGGAGUCCUUUCAUGGUUCAUCUGGGAUUCUGCUUUGUACAAAUACCUCUCAUCACACAGAAUACCGAACGAUUUCUUAGAGAAACUCCCUCUUUGGAGAGGCAGGAAAUAGCCAGUGUUGUAUUUUAAAUAACCUCCACUGAGGCUCUUUCUCACCUACGUGCUACAGAUCUCUGAAGUGGAACAGAUGGUGUCCAGUCCUGCAGUGUCAUCUGCCUGCAUGCACUCAUCUUAAGUGGAUUUAGGCUAGACUUCUGUUUUCUUUUUUCCUUUCUUUGCAUGCUGAGCAAGAAAUGGGGAAGGGAGAAAAAUGAAACAUAAAAGGCAGAUGCUGGUAACAGAGCAGAAGUGAGAGUUAUAAAAAUGUCACAGACAUCUGCAGAACUGCACUUAGUGGAAAACUUCACCAUUGCAGCAAAAUUGCCCGCAAAUGACCUGUGCAACAAGAUGAAGUGCAAGGGUCUGCUCACUGGAAGAGUAGCCCCGUUACAGCCCCAGGACGCGGCACUGUGUGUGUGGCAGGUCGGGAUGCUGUCAAAGGGACCUCAUGAUGCAGUGCACUGAACUCCUACCAAGUCCAGGAGUAUCAAACAGAGCAGGAACAACAACCCUGCCCGUUCCUUGGUGCCAUUACAAUUAAAUCUGGUCAGGGCCUUUCUAGCUACUGGAGGGCAGGA